UACGAAGGGGGCUAGCGUUGUUCGGAAUUACUGGGCGUAAAGCGCACGUAGGCGGAUACUUAAGUCAGGGGUGAAAUCCCGGGGCUCAACCCCGGAACUGCCUUUGAUACUGGGGAUCUCGAGUCCGGAAGAGGUGAGUGGAACUCCGAGUGUAGAGGUGAAAUUCGUAGAUAUCUGGAGGAAUACCGGUGGCGAAGGCGGCAUCCUGGACCGGCAUUGACGCUGAGGAGCGGAAA
rnacentral:rRNA from 1 species